UGUUCUGUGGCUUAGUUGGUUAAAGCGCAGGUCUAGCGAAUACGGAGUCAUGAGUUCAAAUCUCAUCCGAAAAC
rnacentral:tRNA from 1 species